AAACACUAACCCAGCAACUGUUAUAGGCAUUAAAAUAGAAUCAAGGAAGUUCUCUGGUCACAGUUGUGCUCUGCUCUAAUUGUGAUUAUCAAUAUGUACAUAUGCAUGAACUCCUGAAAACUGCCUCUGCUCUCUUUGGAUCAUAAAGAUGCUUGUAACAGAUAUUGUAUUCUGCAGUGACUAUGUAGUUAGAUUUGAUUUAGUUUAGUUUAAUUGAUUUUACUAUAUUCUUUCAAUGUAUUUAGAAAGAAGUAAAUGCUUUUGCCAUUAUUUUAAGAUGUGUUUUUUGUUACCAUAUUAUGUAAUAUUCAAUUAUUGCAAUGUCUGAAAAAUAUCAACUACCAAAACUUGUAUUGGGUUUGAAUAAAGUUGCCAUUUAAGAAAUGGUGGCAAAAGCAAUUAAUUCUUUCUAAAUACAGUGAA